rnacentral:lncRNA from 1 species
AUGGAAAGAAGGGUAUUUACAACCGGCUUGACCGUCCGUCCGGUGGUCUUACCCACGGUCCUCAAAAGCAGCCACGAUAACAGACGGCCCUGGCCAGGGUACCGUGGUGGGGGCAGCCAAUCCUGGAAGAGGACUUCGACAAUUAGCAACGAGAACAUCAAAAAGUUUUAUUGCGGAGAGCGAGAGGCACCGCCCCUGCCGCCCCGGGAUUGGCGUGAGGAGCCUCUGACGACAUAUAUUAACCCGAGCAGCCCUAAAGAUGUAGCUGUACAUGGAGAUCUUGCUGGGAAAAUCCGCUUCCUCCCCUCACGGCGUCCAGCCCAGGAGAACCGCCGCCGCCGCCGCCACCCAGGAGCUCCCUCGGCCACUGCGCGGACCCCGCCGAGAACCCGAGCCGCCGCCUUCGCGCUCCGAGGCGCCCGCAGGGCCCCAGAUCCUUCCCCUGAAAGAAGGAGAGGAUCUGAGAAAAUGGAUGCACUGAGACCUCUCUGAAAACCCUCCGAGGGAGCCCGGGAGGAGUGAGGACACGUUACCCGCUGCUAAAAUCACAUUUCCAGGACCAAAAACAACAACAACCAAAAAUUUCAUUAAAACAAUAAGCGCCCAAGAACCCAGACCGGGCUGGUGGGGGGAGGGGAAGGGGCGGGAAGGGGAGGGUCGCACGGAGGUAGCUUCACAGUGAGCAGCCGACCCCGCCGCCUCCCUGCAGAGCCGGGCCGGCUCUUCCACCCGCGGCUCGGACUCGCCCUGGGAUUCCGAGUUAGCUUCGGUGCCGGGAUCGCGGCCGCGGUGGAGGCCGGCGACUCCGCGAAGCAGCCUCGCGGGAGCCCGGGCACCUUUGCAUGAGCACGAGAGGAUUCUGCCUCCCCGCAGCUGCCCGGGAAGCAGGAGCCGGCGCGCGGGCCGGGGAGCCAGGCGGGAGCCGGCGGCGGCCGCGGCCAGGGGCGCACGGUGCCGGGACCAGCUCGCCGCGCCCUAUGGGGAGCCGGCGGCCGCAGUGCUGCUGAGGCAGGCCCGGCGGGCCAGGCGGGGGAUCGGGGCCCGGGCUGCAGCAGCCCCCUCUGCGGCUGCCGGGCCGGCCCGGGCGCCCGAGGGCUGGGGGGCGGGGGGUGGGGGAGGCCGCCCAGCGCCGAAGCGGGGGCCCCGGCCGAGGGCGCGGCGGGGCUGCGCGCACGCUGGGGCGCGU